rnacentral:rRNA from 1 species
GACGAACGCUGGCGGCGUGCUUAACACAUGCAAGUCGAACGAAAAGGCCCUGCUUUUGUUCCGUUCUCGAUUGCCGCACGCGUGAGUAACACGCGAGUAACCUGCCCUUGACUUUCUGAUAACUUCACGAAACUCCGGCUAAUACCGGAUAGGAUCUCCUGCUGCAUGGUGGUCGUUGGAAAGUUUCGGCGGUUGGGGAUGGACUCGCUGCUUAUCAGCUUCUUUGUGUGGUAGUGGCUUACCAAGGCUUUGACGGGUAGCCGGCAUGAGAGGGUGACCGGCGACAUUGGGACUGAGAUAGGCACCAGUCGCGUUCGGGAGGCAGCAGUGGGGAAUAUUGCGCAGUGGGGGGAAGCGUGAUGUAGCAACGUCGGGUGCGGGAUGACGGGUUUCGGGGGGUAAACAGCUGUGGCCUGUGACGAAGCGGGAGUGACGGUAAUGGGUAAAGAAGCACCGGCUAACUACGUG